rnacentral:sRNA from 12 species
GACCUAGAGCCACUCGCAAGAGAAGGUAUGGUAACCAAAAUCUAUCAGGAAAUAAAAGCUCAUCGUCAGAGCCUAUUUCCUGAUAGUCACGUUCCGAAAGGUUCGUGGGUGGCAUUUAUGCCAUC